UACGUAGGGGGCAAGCGUUGUCCGGAAUCAUUGGGCGUAAAGAGCGUGUAGGCGGCCCGGUAAGUCCGCCGUGAAAGUCCAGGGCUCAACCCUGGAAUGCCGGUGGAAACUGCCGGGCUGGAGUCCGGAAGAGGCGAGUGGAAUUCCUGGUGUAGCGGUGAAAUGCGUAGAUAUCGGGAGGAACACCAGUGGCGAAGGCGGCGACCUGGGCCAAUACUGACGCUGAGGUGCGAAAGCGUGGGGGAGCAAACAGGAU
rnacentral:rRNA from 1 species